UUCUUGUGUUGUUUUAUUUCUCAUUUUUUCUCUUUACAAAAGGGGCGGAGAUCUCGGGGUUUACGGGAAAGGGUCAUUUCUUUUUUCCCAACACUUUAGCCACCUCCAUCACAGACAAAAAAGCAUAGCAAAACAAAGCUACAAUCUGUCUCGACCAGCUCCACCAACUGUCGAUACUCCGGUAUCAUCUCCUCCUUUCAGUUCUUCUCCUCCAUCCGUCGCCACCGCUCCUGGCGGUUUUCCUCCCAACUCUCCUAAUUCUGGUUCCUUAAAUAGAGUUGUCGCGGCCGGAUCUGCUAUUGUAGUUGUAUUUGCCGCUACUUUGAUGCUUUAAAUAUUUG
rnacentral:lncRNA from 1 species